rnacentral:SRP_RNA from 1 species
GAUGGGACUAGGCCGGGUGGGUUGGCGUCACCUGUGAUCCCAAACCGUCAUCACGGGGAGGCUGAAGCCCCUGGGCGACUGCACGUCGCGGGACAGGCCCACGCAUCCGACAGAGAAGCUUUGUCCCACAGGAUCGGCAGUGCGACGAACCGGGUCAGGCGGGGAACCGAGCAGCCCUCAGUUGUAGUGACGGUGCUUGUGGGGUCGCAAAGUGGAGGAGGAUGCGCGGUUCACCUCGUUCCGAGGCGACAGGCCACCGGGGGCGGUCCCUUU